CAGGGGGGCGGCCAACAGAUGCAGUCGAGCGAGCGAGUUAUCUGAACCUUCGGGGAACGAUAACGGCGUCGAGGACGGAGGGGUGAGUAAUGCCUAGGAAAUUGCCCUGAUGUGGGGUAUAACCAUUGGAAACGAUGGCUAAUACCGCAUGAUGCCUACAGGUGAAAGAGGGGGACCUUCGGGCGACUCGCGUCAGGAUAUGCCUAGGUGUUAUUAGCUAGUUGGUGAGGUAAGGGCUCACCUAGGCGACGAUCCCUAGCUGGUCUGAGAGGAUGAUCAGCCACACUGGAACUGAGACACGGUCCAGACUCCUACGGGAGGCAGCAGUGGGGAAUAUUGCACAAUGGGCGCAAGUCUAAAAAGGGCAUGCCGUGCGCUCGAAGGAGGGCU
rnacentral:rRNA from 1 species